GGGGAGGGGGGCCUGCUGCCCCUAUGGGAGCUGGAUGGGCCUCUUCUCUUGGCCCCUGCCUUCCAAAGAUCAUCAGAAAGGAGCAAAGAAGAGGCUGCCAGACUGCUAGAGCCCACAGGGAUUUUGUAGGGUUUGUUUUUCCUCAGCACUUUCUGCAGAGGUGAGGACAUGAAUAAAAGAAUGAGGGAAGAUUUAUUGUUCCCAUAUCUUGUCAGUGAGCCCUGGAUUUGUAUAGUGGAUCUGGGAGGGGGCUGGAGCAGUUGGGAAGACUGUUUGGGCCCAGGCAGAAAGCCAGACCUUGCAAGGUUUUCUGGAAGGACCCAGGUGGGUGGUGGAGGGUGAAGUUGAAUUUGGGAGGAGUGGAUUUAGACCAACUCUUCCCCAACCACCAGAUGCCAGACUUUGACAUGCCAUUUGACACAACAUUUGAGGACUCGAACUCCUGACCUCAAAUGAUCCUCUUGCCUUGGCCUCCCAAAGUACUGGAAUUACAAGCGUGAGCCACUCUGCCCAGCCGAAGGGAGGGAAGGGUAAGCACACUGAGGUAAGACUCUGCAGAGCUUCUCUCCCAAAGUGGCAGAUCUGAUUCCAGCCACUUUGCACAUGCAGGGCCCCCACCAUGUUUAGCUGCCUCCUUCAUGGACAAUGUCAGGGAAAUUCUCAUGCAAACUGCCAUGCUUCAUCCUCACCAAAAAUGGCCUCAACUCUCAUGGGUGAUGAUGCUAAGCUUAUCCCCUCAUACACAUGCUCACAUACCACCUUGACAAUUUACCUGGCAGGCAGGAUCAUAAAUCAGGACAAAGAAUUAAUUGCAAUGGUCCUAUACAAGAAAUAGAGACCUGUAGUAGCAGAUGUGUGUGGAGUGGUCAUUUCUCCAUAAUCUUCUGAAGUUUAGUUCAUAGUUUAGACUUUCCUCCAGGCUCACAUUUGUGGGGUCCAGACAAGAGUGUGGCUAGAGACCCAUGUAUCACACGUCUAAAUAGUUCGAAGUAAUACAUUACCCUAACACACUGUUAAACUAAAAAUGUUCUAUCUUCUUAUAAUAAAAAGUAGAACAUAUAAGGAUAUAGAAGGCCAGAUCCAAAUUUUGAAUUCUUGAAUUUUUGAAUUCUGUCCUAGAGCUUGGUUGAUGAAGAGAGUAGGCUUGUGGCCACCUUUUCAUACCACGCCCUGAGCCAGCCUCUCCUACUAAGGGCUUUCUGCAUAGCCAUGCGGACACUCUAUCCUGCUCAGGGGUUUGCCCAGCAGUGGCACAUGUGCAGCCUUUGGAAGCGGUCUCAGGGCCUUUGGAAAUUUCAGGAUCUAGAAAGGGAGACACAGGUCUGGGUGGCACAGGACUUCAGCUUUGCGAAUUCUCCCCUUAGGGUGGGUCUGGUCAAAGAAGGGCCAGGGGAGCUGGGCUGGGACUAGGACAAGGCAGGUGAGGUGCCUCAGUGCGAUAUUUAAGGCGGCAUCACUCUCAGGCUCACACAGAGGCAGGCCAGCUCCUGCCUCACCCUAGUCUUGGUCCUAUAGGGCAGGAUCCUCUAAAGUGAGCAGCCCAGAGCAGGGAGGGCUUCUCCCAUCUGGUCUCCAUGGGUAUUGAUGGGUUACUCCUAACCAUCGAGUGAGACAAAAAGGCAAGAUGACACAAACAGACCUCUCUCCUGUGAGUCCCUAUUUUCCUAAAGUACUGUAAAGCAUCCCUGAUUACAUUUCAGGGAGCUCCACGUCCGCAUCAGCCCAGCGCCCAUGGUGGUCCCUGGCCUCAUUCUCUGUGGAAAAGUACCCAGUGAUUCAUUAUCAUUCCCACUCACAUAGCUUCCUAGAAAUGAAUGUCGAUAAACACUGAGAAAAAGUCUAGUAUAAAAAUACACUGUAUUCCAGAAGUCUUGCUGAGCAGACAUUAGUGCAAACCAAGGAGAGCCAAAGCUAAUUAGGAGAAAAGGGAUGUGCAGAAUCCAGGGAAAGCUGUGGGAGAGGAGUGAGUUCAGAUGCAUUUCGGAAAGGUCUAAAUCACAGAGGACGCUCAGGAAACAGUGGAGAAGGUAUGGGGGUCAGAUAUGAGUGUUCAGAAGCCUGUUGAGCGGGUACUUGCUGCUCCACGUGCAGAGACAUUUGGGAGGGGCUGCGUGGGGAGGAGAGGAGGGCGCUGGCCCAGGAGCUGGCAAGCAUGGGUUUGAAUCUGGGCUCCAGUGCUUGCUGACCAGUCCAGCUAAGUCACUGGAUUUUGCUGAGUUUCUAUUUUCUCCUCUGCAUAAUGGGACCAAUAAUAUGUUUCCUGUUUAACUUGCAGAAAAGGUGGGAAGACCACGUAAAGCAGCAAGAAGGUUUUGAAGGUUGUACAGAGGAUCCAAGGUACCAAAAGGAUGGCACAGAUUCAGAACAGCAAGGGUGAUGCUCAAGCUCCGGGUAAGGUGCGGUCCUGGCCCCUGAAUCCUCCUCAGACCAACCCUUAUCUGGCAUUGGUCCUUCCAAGUAAAGAGAAGCUUCCCAUUUAAGCCUCCAUUGUGACAGGAGGCUGAAAAGUGUAAGAGAAGGCUGGAGUGAAAGUGAAUUGGCAAAGCACUAAACUGAGGGGAAACAGCAGGGUGGGAGUAGCUACUGCAAAACCAGUCUAUUAACGGAAGGUCCUGAGGGACCAGGAUGGAUUUUCUCAAGAAUGAACACUAAGCCUAGCGGACUGAAUAAAUGAAGACACAUCCAUCAGGGACCCACUGAUUGGCAGGAGCAACAUGCUGUAGGAUCAAGUCAUAUUCAGGGUCGAGGCUGACAUGUUUGCCAAGUCUCAGAGUGGCCACCACUCCUUAAAGCUGGAAAAAAUUUAUUUAGGAUUCAUGAAAGAAAGAUCCUGCUGGGAACAGUUUUAUGGAGCUCCUUACUCUGAUGUUCUAACCACAGAAUGAAAAUAGUGUCAAGAAAGAAUUUAAUGAAUUCUUGGAGAGUGAAGACAGAAAGGCCUUCUUAAAGAAAAUCAGUGAGGUCCAAAGAAUUUGCCUAAUUGCGUGGGAGUGCCACUGUGAAGUUCAGCGUGCCUCCCCUGACUCCUCUGAUGCCACUGCACACCCAAGUGUUCUUAAGCCAUGAUUUCCAAGUGUCACUCAAGGGUUUCUGCUCAGGCAUCAGCAUGCUGCACUCACCCCAACCUCACAUUCGGGGUUUUGUGUGAGCGUCAUGCCCUGAAAUCUCAUACCCCUUAGCCAUAGCCCACAAACCUCAAACCAUCAGCUCCUGGGAAACCUGUUCAGCUCAGGACUCUGAGAAUGAGUAUGUGGCCGCUUUUCCACGUGGCCAAGUGUUACCCCGGAACAGAAGACAGAGAGAGAACCAGCACUUUUUGCACAGCUACUUCGCAUCAGGCACUAAACCGGGUGUGUUAUUAAAGCUGGUUCACUGAGUCUUUACAAAAACCCGGUGAGGGAUAGUCUGUUCUCUGUGUAAGAGGAGGCGGAGCCUCAGAGAUAUUAAGUAACACACUUAAGGGCACACAGCUAGUGAGGGAUAGGAAUGGAUUCAAGUCUACAUUUUCUAGCUUCAGAAUCUGUGCUCUUCUACUAUUCCUGCCUCCUGAACAGAAAACAAGAAACUCCUCUCUUUGCUCUGAAGUCUCGGAGCAGUGUCUCCCAGCAGGGCUGAGGCCAGAAUAUUCCGCAGGGGAAUUAGAGGCUCUUGGUUCCUGCCAUGACCUUGGUCAGGUUAUUUGACCUUUCUGAGUUUCAGUUUCCAACAUGGAUAAAGUAGGAAUAAUAUACUCCCUUACCUCUUUGCAGAGUUGUGGAUAGAUCUAAGAUAAAAGCAAAUGUGCAGAAGCACUUUGCCAUGGUCAAGCAUGCAUUUGAUUGUAGAAUAACCCUUGCUUGAUACAAUGCUGUGAGUUCACCCUCUUCUUCACACAUCACGAUCCAUCGAGGUUUGUUGAGUGAGUGUUGAUCCACAGACAUUCUAGACUUGAACUGAUUAAACUCUCAUGAUUCUGCCAAGAGGAAAAAGUCAUUUGCUCUUCUUUUCAGAGUCUGGUCAUUGUGGGGAAGAAUGGGGAAAAAAAAUCCAUCUAAAGGCCAAAACUUUCUUUUGUGCCAGCACAAGAAAGAAAGUAACUUUUGGAUUUAAGGCUUGGCAGCCAACCAAGCUCCAGAGAACAACGGAAGCUGCCCAGCACCAGGCACGAGGGGCAGGCAGGUACAGGGAGAAGACCUGGAAAAAAUUGCCAGACCAACUCAAAAUCACAAAGUUUCCAGAGCUUAUAUACCUUCUAAGCCAUGUGUCUAUGUUUCUCUGUCCUGUUCCCAUGCGGAGAAGAUCCUUGCAUCCCAUUCUGCCAUGAUUGUAUGUUUCCUGAGGCUUCCCCAGCCAUGUGGAACUAUCCCCAGAAUGGAGCCCAGACAGAGGAGCAGGGAGACAUCGGAUUUGUUGCUGCUCUCAGCCUCCUCUCAGCAUCCUUGUCUACAUGCAGGGGUUCUGCCAAGCUGAGCUGAACCAGAGACCCACUUGGGAGAGACCCAGGAGCUGAGAAGCACUGGCCAGUGGUAUUAGCCCUUCCAGUGGCCCCUCCAAAUUCAUGGCCCCAGGAGUGGAGAAGUCCUGCUUGAUGCUCUCGGGUGUCAGCUCCUGAAGGUUCUCAGGGGAGGAAUGCCUAGGAGUGCUGAUCAGGAAGUCUGUGAACUCUCUCCAGACCAUGCAGGGAAAGGGAGGUGCCCCAGGUUUGCUUUUUCUGCCCUUCCUUACUGGUCCUACCUUUGUAUUCACAUCAGAAACACAGUUGCAUUAUGAUGUCUUCGGCUUCCCUGCACAUCUCAGCCCUGCCUCAAGAAAGGAUGAGGAAGCUGAGUCUCGAGAGGCUAAGUGACGAUAUUCUCACAGCAAGUGAUGGAACGCGAAUCUGAAGCCAGGUGUUCCUGGAAGAGAAAGACAGAGGAUGAUUAGAGAUGCAGGCACGUAGAAGAAGGAAGGCCACAUAAAGAUGGGAACAGGGAUGGAAGUGAUGCCACCAGAAGUCAAGCAGUGCUUUGAGCUACCAGAAGCUGGAAGAGGUUUCAGGACCAGCAUGUCUAAAUCAAACCCUCUCUGAACAUCCAGAUUCUCUGGAGUAAAGAUUCAGCAUUUCAGGAGGCAGCAAUAAAUCGUGGUAGAGAGUGCAGGUUCUGAAGUCACAUUGUGCAAUGUUGGGCUCCUCAGUGAUACACUUCCUCCAGCCAUGGACCCUUCAGACAAGAAAUGUGCUGCUCCUGCGUUUCGACCCACUCUUUCUCUGCAAGAAGUGCCCAGAGAGCUCCAAGUGUUGAAAGGCAAGUGUCCUGUGGAGGUUUCCUCUGGACUCCUGGCUGCUUUUCAAAACAUAUAUGAAAAGACUGUAAUAUAUUUAACUUUGAAUAUUUAGCUAAACAUCCUAGAAUUUUGAUAUCAGAGGGGAUGACUCACUGGCUACUCUGAAGUGCUUGGUCCACAAUGAGCCAUUUUCCAUAUUCGGUGAGUACACGUGCUGGAUAGGCUGUUUCCAUGAACCAAGCUGACAGUCUAAGAGCAAAAGGCAUGGGUCCCUGUCUACCUGUUGAAACCCUCUUACAAAGACCACUGGGAAGCAAUGCUCCCUCUUUCACGGCAUGUUUAUUAAUGCUCAAAACAACGCUCCUUCUUUUAUGGCAUAAGGGAGCAUUGUUUUGACAGAGAUGCAGCGGUGGCUCAAAAUGGGGAAGUUAAUGAGUUUUUGUGAUAGAGUGGUUGCGGGGUAGAAAUUUGUAAGUGAGGUCUGGACUGGGGUUGGUCAGAAUUUGUAAACAAUGUGAACUUCUGGAAUUGUCAGAGGUCUUGUCUCUAGAGCCUGAGUUCAGAGUCACUGCUGAACCCUUUUUCCCGUGGUCUUGGCAUCAAGCCUCUGUGCAUACAACACAACAAUGUGCAGUUCUUAAAGUAGUUUGACCUUUGCUGGUGUUUCAGGGUAUGGUUUGAUACAAUUGAUCCAUUUUGCAGGUCAUAGUACAGUUCUGCACUUUGUAGUUUCAGUUGUAUUUCUUACUUCUGUGGAAAGGAGAAUUAAACUCCAAAGAAAUGCCUCUCCUCUUAUUUAGUCCAGGAACAAAUUCCUAAUGGAAGCAAGAAUGAACACUUGUUUCCACCCGGAGUGUCCCUUUCGCUGCCACCUCAUGCUCCACCAGAGAAAGUCUCAAUCUUCUUGCUGAGUCAGGGAUCUUCAGCAAUCUGGCCUCCACCACUCACCACACCCGAUCAUCACUCACCACCUCCAUGAACAUAAGCCAACCUCCAUCGCCAUCACCCACCAUCACCCUGCCCACUUCCAUGGCCCACCCUUUCACCAUCCUACCACUCCCUACCAGUACCACUUAUUAAACAAGCACUGUGUGCCAGGAGCUGUGCUAUGGGGGUUUGCCAUGCUCAUUUUAUUCAAUCUUCACUCCAGCUUUAUGAUGUAGAUUAGUGGUUCUCAACUAGAAAGAUACUGAUGCCUGGCUUCUCGCCCAGAAUUACUGAAUCAAGUUAUUGGAUUAGGGCACAGGAAUCUGUAUCUUACAAAUAUUUCAAAUGAUUUUGAUGCACAGAUAACAUUUGAGAACCACAGAUGUAAACAAUAUUAUCUUUGUUAUACAGAUGGGCCAAGGGAGAGGAGAUUAAAAAUGAUUUCCCCUGCAAUCCCAGGAAAGGCUAUUUUGAAGAUGUUUGGGGAAUAGUCUUAAAGAACCAAGAGCAGCGGCUGGCGCAGUGGCUCAUGCCUGUAAUCCCAGCAUUUUGGGAGGCCAAGGCAGGAGGAUUGUCUGAGCCCAGGAGUUUGAUACCAGCCUUGGCAAUAUGGUGAAAUGCCAUCUCUACCAAAAUUAUGAAAAUUGGCUAGUCUCAAACAAUAGAUUAAAAUUUUAAAUACGAAAAAGAAAAAUCAAGAAAAAUUACUUCUGUUUAAUGAACACCUAAUCUAUUGUUGAUCUCAUUUUAUAGAGGAGGAGACUGAAGCCUAGAAAGGUUAGAUCCAUUUCCUAAGGUCGCACAGCUCAUAAGGGGAGAAGCUGGGUUCAGAAGCAAAUCCUCCUGACUGCACAUGCUGUGCUCUUUCCUGGAUACUGCAGUGGCCUCCAGGGAGCCCCUCUCAGGGCGGCCUCGUUGUUUCUUUGUUAUACAGACACCCUGACCAUAUUUCAGCUUCUAACCAUGGAAACACAAUUUUCCCACCAAGAAUGAUGUCAUCUCUGCUGUCCUGGCCUUUACGAGCAUGGAGUGUCUUUGCUACCUUCCUUUCUCCGAAGCAGCUCCUUUUAACCCCAACAGGCCUCUUUCCUCCCUGGUACUCAGGUGUAAGAUGUCAGUAUUGUUUCUCCUUUUUCCCUUUUCUCUACCUAUCACCUCCUUUUCCAACAUAUUAUUUUCCCCUGUCUUUCUCCAAUUUCACUGCUGUUGCCCCAGGUCCUCACACUCUGAAUCUUUGUGAGACCCUCUAACUGGCUUAUUGACACCUCCAGUUUCUUCUUGUUGUUACCCACCCGGUACUCAAUAAAAGAUUUAUCUUCUAAAAAUACUUUUGUUGUCACUCCUGGCUCCAAAACCCUAUGAAACCCUAACUGUUCAUCCAAAGCCCUCCCCAAGAGGGCCAAGUCUACAGAUUCAUUAAAAAACAAAUAAAUUAUAAGAAACCUGAUUUUGUUUUAAAAUUCCUGCACAAACAGCUAAGUGAUUCUGACAUUCUACUCAAUAUUUGGACUCUUGCUGAAACACU